GCAGGCGUGGCGGAAUUGGCAGACGCGCAAGAUUUAGGAUCUUGUGUCCUCUGGACAUAUGGGUUCGAGCCCCAUCGCCUGCA
rnacentral:tRNA from 2 species